GUUAUACUUUCUUCGUUCGGAACUACUUGUCGCGGAAAUGGAUGUAUCUAGACGUAUUUUAAUUUUAGAUACAUUUAUUUAUAUUCAUUUGCGUGACAAGUAAUUUAGGAAGGAGAGAGUACUUC
rfam:Hordeum vulgare subsp. vulgare, WGS project CAJW01000000 data, contig: morex_contig_1575367